CUAUCAUUAUAAUGGAAUAUUGGCCUUCAGAUGUGUUCAGGCCAGGACUCUUAUCAAACAUGUGAAGUUUGGGGAAGAUUGAACAUUUUAUGCUUGAGUUACAACAACUUCUCUUCCUGUGGCAAGACAUCAAAUUUUGUCAUGGCGCCAUGGAAACGCCCUUUAACAAAAACUCAAGAUCUCCAAAAGUUAACAUUGCACAGGCCUUUAGAUUAGACUGACCACAAAAUAUAUGUUAAUCUCAAAAAAAUUAUAUGAGUAGUUUGUCGCAGCGUAAAACAUGUCACUUCCUGUUGCCAAUAGGUGGCGCUAUGACUAUAACUGAAUGUGGGCAUGGAGAUCUGUUAAGGGCAGAAGUUUUAUCUAACAUGUGAAGUUUGGGGCAGAUUGGACAUUGUAUGUCUGAGUUACAGCAACUUCCUUUUUCAUGGCGAAACAUCGAAAUUUGUCAGGCCGCCAUGGACACACCCUUUAACGAAAUCUAAAGAUCUUCGCAAUUUAACAUCGCAAAGGGCUUAAGAUUACACUGACAAGGUUUGGUGUUGAUCUGAAUAAAUCUCUAGGAGGAGUUCGUUAAAGUACAACCCCUGAAAAUGGCCAAAAAAACGCCAAUUUUGCAGAGAAAAUUCUAAAUAACCGACUUCCUGUUGGGAUUCGGAUUUCAUACCAAGAGACUUUUUUGUAGGUAUUGCUGUGUUACAUGUGUAUACCGAUUUUUGUACAUGUACGUGAAACAUAGCUCGAGGCGCACUCUGUUGAAAGUGUAUAGGUGGCGCUAUCGAGCCAUUUUGCCACACCUGAUGGAAUUUUGGCCUUCAGAUGUGUUCAGGCCAGGACUCUUAUCACACAUGUGCAGUUUGAGGAAGAUCGGACAUUUUAUGCCUGAGUUAUAACAUAUUUUAUUCCCAUGGCGAGACAUCGAACUUCGUGACGGCGCCAUGGACACGCCUUUUAACGAAAACUCAAGAUCUUCACAACUUAACAUCGCACAGGCCUUUAGAUUAGACUGACCACAAAAAAUACAUUGAUGUCAUAAAAUUUCUAGGAGUAGUUCAUCGCAGUGUAAAAUAUGUCACUUCCUGUUGCCAGUAGGUGGCGCUAUGACUAUAACUGAAUAUGGGCAUGUCAAUCUGUUCAGGCCAGGAGUCUCAUCAAACAUGUGAAGUUUGGGGCAGAUUGGUCAUUGUAUGUCUGAGUUAUAGCAACUUCCUGUUUCAUGGCGAAUCAUCAAAAUUCGCCAGGCCGCCACGGACACGCCCAUUAACGAAAACUCAAAAGCUUCGCAAUUUAACAUCGCAAAGGCCUUCAGAUUAGGCAUACCAAAUUUGGUGUUGAUCUGAAUGAAUCUCUAGGAGGAGUUCGUUAAAAUACAACGCAUGGAAAUGACAAAAAUGACACAA